rnacentral:lncRNA from 1 species
UUGCGUUCUGUUUCAUCAAAGGGUCAUUAGGCUUUCUACCAAGCUUCAGACUUUGAUCGCACCAGUAGUGACGUUUAUAGUUUUCUCAUCAACAGUAUACGACGGAUUUUUGGGGGAUUGGCGGUUUCUCAGCCAUUCUCCGUUGAAACUCUCAAGUAUAUUGGUGCUAUUUGCGUUGCGCAGAUCCCAUUUUUCCUCCUAUUCAGAUGCCCUGCGCUAACAUCGCAAGCGGCGACAGACAUUGGCACUCAGCUGUACUGGAAUCAAUCGUGGGCAUCUUUAAGAGACAAACGCGUAUUCAUCUUGGAAUUAGUUAUGAUGAGGACCAACAAAACAAUUAAAUUUCGGAUCCUCAAAUUUUGGAUAUUGUCAUACGAGAACUUCCUAAAGUAUCUACAAAAUCUCUAUGCGGUAGUUGUCAUCAUCAGAUCCGUAACCUCCAGGUCUCACAAAGACACUACCGUACCAAUUUAAGCAUCAAAAGUAAGGACCCUGGAUAGACACUUCUGAUAUAAGGAAUAUUUCAACGAACCAUUGACUUGAAUUUCCUCUACCAGUUUGAAGACUUAAUUAAUUCUAAUAAAACUGCCCACACCAAAAAAAAAAAAAAUUCGGAUAAAAGAACUGAACCUCGGUUUAUUUUGGAUACUAACAUGUUUGUUUUGGGAAACAAACAUUUCUAGUUUUAGGAACUGAACUUUCGUUCAGAAAACUGAAGUAUUUCGUAAAAAUACAAGCGUAUAUGGCUGGAAGAAACUUCGGUUACCUCAGCUAAGGUUUUGAUCCAAUGACUGAAAACUUUAGUCACCUGAACUAGAAACAUUAGUUUUCCAUAUGAACCAAAAUUUGUUUCUCCAUGAAUGCAAUACGCUCCUUUCACACUGCCAAAAUCCUCCAGUUUCAUUGCUCUUAUUUUAAUAGAUGUACAAAAUAAAAAGUAGAAAUUUUGAUCAGACUUUUAUUGUGCCUACAUAAUGCCGAGGUUGAGUGAAUAAUUUGAUUAACUGUAAAGUUUCAAUUUAUUUUAACUUUAAAUUCUAAGUCGUACAUUUUACUCACCCUUCGCACGGAACAACCCAGUAAUACUUGGCUAGCUGUCAAAAGGUUUGUUAGAGCUCACUUCUAGAGAGCCAGGUCAUAACGUCACUCCUCUCACGUAAGGGCGUAACUUGAUUUUUGCAUGAGCCCCAGAAAACAUGGAUUUAUGUGUGAAUCAGGGCUCACGCGAAAAUUGGAACAUGUCCUUACGUCAGAUUAGCGACGAAAUGGGAUCACUAGACUUGAGAUGGAUGGCGACCCUACCAUGAUUAGCGUCAAAAGUCUUGCAAGGGUAAUAUAAGGCUACCACUUACCCAAAAUCUAUAGAUGACGCUUAAAUACGUCCUAGCCCUAUAUCCAAUUUUUCGGCGUAUGUUAUAUAUGUGCGGCUAUCAGCGAUAUCUCUCAUGUGUCUUUUAAAUCGUGUUACUUGUUAAAGUAUACCUGAUUGCACUCGAUGCAGCUGUACUAAGUCACAGAAAAGCAUUUAAACGAUCGACAAAGCAACCUAGAGUAGAUUACGGAGUUACCCUCUUCGAAUGGAUGAGUGUAAAAAGCCUCAUCGAGAAUUUAAUUUUUAAUAACUCAGCUCUAUAACUACCAAUUUUGAUUGCGACGUAUCAAAAUUUUUAAGUGUGAAUGUUUUAUUUUGUGGUAGAAUAAAUCAACGCUUUGAGAUUUUGAAUAUUUCAUGCUUUAGUCUGAUCGUGUCUAGGUCAUUUUAUACAAAUUUAAAGGCAUCUUGUCGAUUUCCUUGGCUUUCUGACUUAAACGAGUGUGUGUGGAGAUUUUUAAACGCUUUUAUUAAGGUUUGUGACAUUAAAGAAUAGGCACCUCUAUUCUUAAAAUACUUUGCUCUGAAAAAAUGACAUAAUGGAAAGCAUAUAAAGAUACAAGUUUUCAUUCAGGGAGAACUGACAAAGCACAAAUCCGAAAGUGACCCUCCUCUCAUUCCUGAGGUGCGAGUAUUCUACCGUGCUAAGUAAAAAUGCCGUAUAAGCAUUCGAAUGGUGCCAAAUUUCCACUCAGAAAAUAUUUAUUUUCGAAUAUAGUUAUGAAUAGCCUUCCUUGAAAUUUUCAGACUUUUUAGCUAAAGUUACGAACAAAAUCCUUCAAAAAAUCGGAAGAUAAAUAUUAACAAUUUUUUCUGAAAAUGUGUGAUUUUUCGAAGAAAAUUUGGCAACGCUUGAUGGUUCUUACGGUGUUCUUCCAUAGGACGGUAGUAUUGAGAUUUGGAUGAAGGGAAAUUGCACCGCGCCAUGAGCUGGACGCAACCCGCUUAGCGCAAACAUGCGGGAGUCGGAAACCUACGCGCAAAGAUCAACACAUUGGCUCUUAAUUAAGAUUCUCGGCUUGCGGAAUAGUCCUUCUUUAUACAGUCCGCAGCAGUUAUUAAUUAAAUGGGUAAGCGGGAAACUUGAUUUACUAAUUAAUUGAUGAACUUUACUUUCGAUGGGCUACCAAUAGACGGGUAAAGUGAAUUCCACUGUUUGUCAUUUAAUUACGCUUGCUAAUCAAACAAUCAUGAAUAUCUGUUUGACUUUCUCUCAAAAUGUGAAAUUCAUAAUGACCCCCAGACCGAUUACUUUUUUUCCAAAUUUUUCACUUCAGUGCGGAUUUUGAUUUGUCAAAAAUUAAACAGUCCAGGUUUUGAAUCUAAACACUUAAUUAAAUUUUCUUAUGUCAAAUUCAAGACAUAGUAAAAAGAGAGGAAAAAAUCUAAUAUAUGUAUGCGUAUAUAUAGUUGCUCCUACAACGCACUCUGACGUUCUGACACCCAAACGCCACAUAUGACGAGAGGUUUCGGGCAAAUGACACCGCAACAAGCAAAAAUUGAGAAGCAAAUCCAUAGACAAUAGAGACCCUCAUUUAACUUUACACUAACCACCGUCCUCUGAAAAUGUUUAUGUACAUACACAUUUACGUAUACCGUUCAUGGAAGGACUCAAACCUGUGUUAAUUUGUCAGUGCAAAUAACAAAUUACAUUCGGUUAAUGAAGAAUUUGAGUAAAUGUAAAAUAUUGGCACGUCGAUGGCUUUUAAAUAGCAUGUAAACGUGAUUCAAAAUUGGCUGUUGAUUAUCUCCUCAAUUACAUCAUGUUGGAGAGUAACCAUGAUGAUUAGUCACAGAAUGCAAAUUGAUGUUCUUGUUGUAUUUUGAAGUUGCAGAAUUCAAAACAAUAUAAAAACUGUACAUCAACUGCGUGUACUGGAACAAAAACAAAAUGAAGAGUUUGAUGAUAUUUAAUAGUACAGAAUCGUUCAAAAUUCUAAUAAUUUUGAACUUAUACAAGUGUAAAGGGAGGAUCAGAAGUAUCAUUGGUGUUUUUCUAAGGAAGGUGAAUUGAAUUUUUGGACAAAAUCUACACAAAUUUCAUGUCAGAUUAUUAAGGAUUAGUCUGAAUCAAGCUCAUUUUUAAAAACGUCCUCUUAUGUUUUAUUUGUUGCCAAUGAAAUCUUAU